rnacentral:rRNA from 1 species
CCCUUAGGUGUUCUGGGCCGCACGCGUGCUACACUGAACGGUUCAAUGGGUAAGGUAGUGCGAAAGCAUGACCUAAUCUCGAAAUCCGUUCGUGCUGGGGAUAGAAGCUUGCAAUUAUCCUUCUUGAACGAGGAAUACCUUGUAAGCGUGAGUCAUCAUCUCACGCUGAAUACGUCCCUGCCCUUUGUACACACCGCCCGUCGCUCCUACCGAUUGAGUGUUCCGGUGAGGCUUUGGGAGAAUGGCCUCAACAUGAGUUUAUCGUGUUUUGCCGUUUGAACUUAGUCAAACCUUAUCACUUAGAGGAAGGAGAAGUCGUAACA